AUCAGGAGAGGUGGGAAGCGGCCCCCUGCCCUCCUCCUGGGCUCCUCUCCGCGUGGUGCACCUGCCACCCGCUGGGGUCGCCCCGGGGUCGCCCCAUGCUUCUCGCAGGCGGAUCCUGGCUGCAGCUGGCGGUCACCUGCUUCAGGUUAAAGGGUUGUGGAAACCUUCCCAGAUCUUUUCUCAGAGGCGAUGCUGGCAGAGCAGAGCUGGGUGACGACUCAGGAGCAGAGGGACUGCCCUUCACACAGAGCCGACUCAAAUGUGAUUCUGCCCUCUGCGGCUAAGAGUCAUGAACAAGCUGUCAUGAACAGAAAACAUGCUCCAUGGGUCUGUAGACACAAAGGUGCCCACUUCACAAGUAAUAAUAUGGAAAUCAAUGAUGACGCUACCUAAGGAAGGAUCUUAGAUUUCAGAACACUGUGUGCAGGAAAAGGAUCUGAUAAUGACCUUACUCACGAUGACUGUAAUAAACAUCUUUAUCAAAUACAAAAA